ACUUUUCCAUAUUGAAAUGCUUCUGAACUGUUAGAUGAUGGUGAAGACAGUUAGAGAUAAAGGGGUGUAAUGACAGAAUAAGCCCUUACAAGUGAGGCUUUAAGUAAUCUUUCAUCCAGUUUUAGGCCUAGCAGCCUGAUUGAGGAAGUCUAAUUCGGGUAAGAAUUACACUGAAGCGAGCAUUGAGGCCGCAGUGUAAUUUUAGCUCAAAAGAUCAGACGGUAGUAGGUAGGCCUAAUCUGUGAUUAGAUGUUGAAUGCAGUUGACAUAGGUAGGGGGCUAUUGAUCUGUUUAUGUUUAAAGAGCAAAGUUCAAGUUGGAGAUGUCCGGUCAAAUACAACAGGUCACUGGAACCUGGCAGUAUCAUUGUCAAAUAGGUUACACUGCUCUGCCUUUGACUGUGACAGUGGUGUUCAUCUCUUCCAGGAUCAUUCAGUGGGUCAGUAUUCAGUAGCAAAACAUCAACAAUGGUAGCCAUGAUUCACCUGCAUCUGACUGACUGGGCUACCUUACCCUAAAACGUUCUUCUUCUAGUUUUUUUUGUAUGCCCACUCAACUGUGGUGUCGGAAAUGGUAUGAAUACAGGGCCGUUCAUAGCAUUCAAUAUCUGCUCUCAACUCAUCUUCUUGAGUUGAUUCUGCCCUCAGCCCUUAUUACUUUGUUUCCUGGCCAGAGUAGCGUGAGUGAAGCAGUCUCUAAGGAUCUUUUAGUAGCAUGUCUUAUUACAGCCUACUCCAAUACUGUUUUGAGUUGGCAAAACACUGCACACUGUGGGUUUUUUCUAUCUUUCCACAACUCGCUGCAUGAAGACACAAUGGGAGCAACGUCAGGCCUUGCCGAUAUGAUUCCAGUGAAGAGCAGAUUUCUUUAUUCACGUGCUUGUUCUCCAUUGACGGGAGACUUAAGAGUAAUUUAUGCAUCAUUUAGAUAAACUUUAUCAACCGUUGACAGACCAGCAGGGUAGGAACCGAACUAAUCUGCCUGUCUCUAGAUCUGCGUAGAGCCCUGCCCCUUUCUUAGAAAUGAACUCAUUGGUUACUUACCAGCAUUGCAUUAUCGCUUGGUUGUAGCUAGUAUGCAUGUGGUUUCUGGUUCUCUGUGUGGUGUUGGUCUCUUCUUGUGAAAUGUAGCCUAUCUAUUCAGCUCUUUUCUCAGUAAUCUUGCACAUAGAAUUUCUUCCUCUUCCGUUUUUCUCGUCAGUCUCCUCCUCAUUGACCAGUUGCCUGGUCAUGUUUUCUGACAGGCAUCAAACCCCAGUUCAUCAUAUUCACCAACCCUACCCACUGAUAGGUUGCUUUGGGGGGAUAUUCUUGGUACAAUAUCUCAGAUUGUUCUGGCAAUUCUCACAUAGAAACUUCAUUGGGAGGAAGAAUGAUUUUUUAAUUUUACAUUUGUAUUACUAGUUUUUCUGUUUUUAUCAUGAUGAAAGUGGCCAUUUUAGGCCCCUUUUCAGACCUCUUCAUUCUCCUGUAAGACCCUGUGAUCCGUACAUGUUACAUCCUGGUGUCCCUAUAGUUCUUAUAUGGAGUAUGUCUAGAUUCUGCAAUACACAUUUACACAUGAAUGAUAUAUCUCAGACUACCCUUUUUUAGAUUGUUAAUUUUUAGAGGUUUUGUUUAGAACAAUAUACUCUACAAGUACAUCACAUUUCCGGAGUGGGCUCUGCAAAUUUCGAAGUUCUAACCCAUUUUAUGAGCACCGUGAAUGGUAAAUGGUAGGCAUGUGCCAAGUACUCGGACAAAACGAGUAUCGUAACUGAUAUGAAUUUUCCGAAUAUGAUUAUGACACAAGUCUAUUUUUUGAAUUUUUUUAUUGUCCAUGAUCGGAAGAAGAACAAAAAAACUAUUUCAGCUGCCAACACACAUCUCUCUUUCAUUCAAACAGUGUGAAGCACUAUGUGUGCUAAAUGACUGUUGGCUGUUUCUUCUGUCUGUAAAGAAACGGGCGGGGUAUCGGUUGAGCCUGUUGCAACGAUUGGAUUAUAACAUAUGCCGCUCUUCCUCUGCUCUCAUUCCCAAGACAGACACGUGACGAUCUCUUUAACUCACUUACUCAUCUCCAAACAUAAUUUCUGAAUCCGUAGCUAGUCAUUGUUGUUCAAUCUACAACUGAGGAGUGCUUCUUUCUGUCAUAAAGCCCUUUUGUGGGGGAAAACUCAUUCUGAUUGGCUCCUCUGUCAAGUGAAACAAUACAUGGGUCAAGUGAAUUCACCGACCUUCAUCUAAAUCUGUGUCUGGAUUAAAUGCAGGCAAUAGUAGCCAGCCAUGCAUUAAGCUAAUUAUUAGCCAAUUUAGUUGAUAAUUGUAUUGGACUAGUAAGUAAAUGAUGUGCAUUUUCAUUUGUCAGGGUAAUGUACCUUUGCAACUCAAUAUUAGGAAGGUCUUAAUGUUUGCUAUACUCGGUGUGCAUUCUAUGGUCAAAAUGGGGGCAUAUCAUUAUAAGUACCAGAGAACUCACUCUGAAGUUUGAAGACUAUAUUCUUCCACAAAAAAACAAACAAGUUAAAUCAAAAAGGGUUGUUUUUUUGAUAUUCAUACUAAUAGUUGUAAUGUUGAAUAAAUUAAUGUGUAUUUCAGAAUGUAUGUUGAAGCCCACUAAAAGGCAGGGGUCACCAACCGGUCAAUCUUCAAGGCAUUCCUAGUUGAUCAUCAAACAUUUCUGUAGAAAAGCCAACGAUAAAGGAGUUGAUAAAAGGCUUGCGCUCUUUUUGAAAUGUUAUUUGUGUUGUGUUGGCGGUAGGUGCACUUGAUUCAGAAGCCCUGCGCACCGGGUAAGCAAAGUGUUCCUAUUUUGAACCAUUUAAUUUGUCUGAAAAGACUCCACUUACCCAGUGGACUGGGAGAUCGGUGGCUAAAUGAAGUGCCUUUACUGCCCUGGCCAUUUGGAUCGCUCAUAUCACCGUCCCAACAGAUCAUCCACAACCCCGGCCACAGCAAAGUUUGAUACUAACUAACUAAGAUUUAAUAACUUUCAAAACCAUGACCACAGAGAGACUCUCAAAGAAUACAGCAAAGAGCUGCUGUAUUUUAUGAGUGAGUUCAUGUUAAAAAAUGUGUUCAGCGCUGUCAACACUGUUCUUUUUCAACACUAUUACAAAACAUAAAACAUGCUUCUCACUACUUCCACUCACGCUGCAAUGAAUCAGUAGCCAAGAGUAUCGAUAGUCCUGCGUUGUUAUUAUUAUUAUUAUUAUUAUUAGCAGCUCGUCCUGUCUAUUUUAAUAGCGAGGAAUAUUUCACUUUAUUUGGUCAUAGGAACAACAUGAAUUUGUGCAUGAGGCACAUGACUAGAGUUCACCAUCAGGUGGAAGACGCUUUCCCCUCUCUCUGGUCAGUCUCACCAUAGGAAGGAGAGAGCAGGGACCGUGAGAGGCGGACCCUCUGCCGCUCUCGCCCGCCCUUCCGCUUAGACUAAUGUCGUGUUCAAGACAACUGGGAACUCAGAGGGGGGGGGGCGAGAUCCGACUGGGGGGAAAUGGUUUUGAACGGUCAUCCAACUCGGGAAUUCAAUGUCGGAAACUCAUCUUUCUAGACCUCCGACGUGAAGAUCACUGAUGUCAUGAUUUGACCUUGUUUUUUUCAGUUGUCUUGAAAGCACCAUGACCAUUAGAUGCAGGUACCAUCACUCCAUUAAAAUAAAAAAGAUAAUUAUUUAAAUUUAUGCUCAGCUGUGCCUUGCAAGUGCUACACCAACUGAUCUAUUUUGUAAUCAAAGCUUGAGUUUUGAAAUAUGGUUUGAGAAGAACAAUAUUGUGUGGCCAGGCAUAUAGCCAAUAUGCUGUGAUAAUGUAUUAGGCCUAAUGCACAAACCUCAUUCACAUAGAACUGUUUUAUUAGGUUAAUAGUAAUAAAUAAAAAAAUGUAAGUUAUGUUUAAAAAAACAAUCUGAGCGGUAGAUCUCUGCUUGCUUUUUGACUGAGAAAGUGAUCUUGACUCAGAAAAGGUUGGUGUCCACUGCUAUAAGGAAUAUAAUGACACUAAGAUGUCUGUAUCGUGUACAGUUCACAGAUCAGAGGGUCUUACAGGAGGCAUGUACAGGUCUAAAAAGGGCUUAAAAUGGCCACUUUCAUCAUGGAUUUUCUAAAAAAUGGUUUGUGAUACAAAUGUAAAAAGCAUUUCAAACAUCCUUCCUUCUAAUGAAGUUUCUAUGUGAGAAUUGCCAGAAUAAUCUGAGAUACCAGCCCAUUUGUACUCUUCAUUGAUGAUUUUUGUUAUUUUAGAAAAUGGCUGAAGGCUACAUGACAAAUCAACCACAUAACUAAAUGAGGUCCUAGCAUCUGUUUUGUUCAGAACUGAAACGUGCGGUGGAAAGAUCUCAUGAGAAUGGGAUUUUUGGCAGAUGAGUCAGAUUUACACCAAUGGGUUUGGGGGUAAUCCCCAUCUCAAACAGCCCUCCUACACCUGUCCAAGUCAUACUUCACUGGAGUUCACUUGGUUCAUAGACCAUUACAUCUCAACCUCAUCAGGGGAAUUGGGUACUGAAAGCAGUCAAACAUGUGACUCGUCUCCUCUAGCCUAAUUCUCCACCACUUCUUUAAACCAGUAGGUCACAGGCUGCUGAAUGAUAUUUAAACAUCCAUACAUCUGUAUUGUAGGCCUAUUUGUUUAAAUCUGACUUUGUCCAGAGUGACAGUGAGGAACAUGUUGAAGGUCAGGAACACCAUGAGCAGCUCAUUCAGGCGUGUUGCUGAGGCAUAAUGACAAACUGGACCUGCCAGAAAAUGUGCCCUCCAUCCAACACUAGCCACUUGGAGUGUUGCCAGUGCCACAUCUUGCCAUGAGAACAUUCAGUCACAAGGGAACUAGAAUAUUUUGUGUUAGUCAUACACAAGCUUCAAAGCACUUAUGGUUUUUUUUUGUAGUGAAAUUCAGGACUACGUUGUCGAUAUUGACAUUUUGGAAUUGACAUUUUUCAAUGAAUUUAAUAACCACCCUUCAGGUUAAAACAUUGAGGCUGUUUACUCUUUUUAGUUUGCAUUAUAGAUAUCUUUAUUUAGUUAAAAAAUAUAUGUUUGGUGGUGGGAAGUAAGAUAGGUUUUUACUGUUAUUCUAUUUCCAUAACUAUUUUUGCUAAAUGUAUUUCUGUUCCUGCCCUGGUUAAGCAGGUUGAUGCUGAGAAAGAGGAAAUUGACUAAGAGUUUCUCAGAAUCUUUGCGGCUUACAUUACCAUGUGACUUGCCGGAAUGAAGACUGAAACGGGUGCUCAUUUGCAUAUUUUGCGCUGGUUGAGGAAAGGGGGGUCUGUGGAGAAGAAACCUUUUAGUUUUGUUUACAUAUGUGGAUCAUACAAGUGACUCAACUCAUCUCUCUAUAUAGAUCACGUAUAGCUGGGGAUGCAACCACAGAGAAAGCCCGCCAAAAUACCCCUUUAUAGUCAAUCUACCAUUUUAUGUAUUCAAAUGUGCGAUACUGAUGAUAAAGCAUUUGCACCUGCUUUAAUAAAAUAGUCCGAAAGAUUCAUAUUGAUUACAGUACCAGUCAAAAGUUUGGACACACCUACUUAUUCAAGGAUUUUUCUUUAUUUUUGACUAUUUUCUUCAUUGCAUAAUAAUCGUGAAGACAUCAAAACUAUGAAAUAACACAUAUGGAAUCAUGUAGUAACCCAAAAAAGUGUUGAUAAACUUAAAAUAUAUUUUAUAUUGGAGAUUCUUCAAAGUAGCCACCAUUUGCCUUGAUGACAGCUUUGCACACUCUUGGCAUUCUCUCAACCAGCUUCAUGAGGUAGUCACCUGAAAUGCAUUUCAAUUAACAGGUGUGCCUUGUUAAAAGUUCAUUUGUAGAAUUUCUUACCUUAAUGCAUUUGAGCCAAUCAGUUGUGUUGUGACUGGGUAGAGGUGGUAUACAGAAGAUAGCCCUAUUUGGUAAAAGACCAAGUCCAUAUUAUGGCAUAUUAUAGCUCAAAUAGAAGAGAGAAGAGAAACGACAGUCCAUCAUUACCUUAAGCCGGGAGGGUCAGUUAAUUAGGAAAAUGUAAUGAACUUUGAAAGUUUCUUCAGGUGUAGAUGCAAAAACCAUCAAGCGCUAUGAUGAAACUGGUUCUCAUGAGGACCGCCACAGGAAAGGAAGACCCAGAGUUACCUCUGCUGCAGAGGAUAGGUUCAUUAGAGUUACCAGCCUCAGAAAUUGCAGCCCAAAUAAUUGCAUCACAGAGCUCAAGUAACAGACACAUCUCAACAUCAACUGUUCAGAGGAGACUCUGUAAAUCAGGCCUUCAUGGUUGAAUUGCUGCAAAGGAACCACUACUGAAGGACACCAAUAAUAAGAAGAGACUUGCUUGGGCCAAGAAACACGAGUUAUGGACAUUAAACAGGACAAUGACCCAAGACCAAGAAGGAGAGUGAUGGAGUGCUGCAUCAGAUGACCUGGCUACAUUGAAGAAUCUCAAAUAUAUUUAGAUUUGUUUAACACUUUUUUGGGUUACUACAUGAUUCCAUAUGUGUUAUUUCAUAGUUUUGAUGUCUUCACUAUUAUUCUACAAUGUAGAAAAUAGUAAAAAAUAAAGAAAAACCCUUGAAUGA